CGGAGGGUCCAAGCGUUAUCCGGAAUCAUUGGGUUUAAAGGGUCCGUAGGCGGUUUUGUAAGUCAGUGGUGAAAGCCCAUCGCUCAACGGUGGAACGGCCAUUGAUACUGCAAGACUUGAAUUAUUAGGAAGUAACUAGAAUAUGUAGUGUAGCGGUGAAAUGCUUAGAUAUUACAUGGAAUACCAAUUGCGAAGGCAGGUUACUACUAAUGGAUUGACGCUGAUGGACGAAAGCGUGGGGAGCGAACAGGAUUAGAUACCCUGGUAGUCCACGCCGUAAACGAUGGAUACUAGCUGUUCGGAGCAAUCUGAGUGGCUAAGCGAAAGUGAUAAGUAUCCCACCUGGGGAGUACGUUCGCAAGAAUG
rnacentral:rRNA from 1 species